GGUCAUCAAAAUUAAAAUAAGCAAUUACGUUAUAAACAGAGAAAAACACUCAAACAUGUGACAUGGAUCAUUGUAGUGCAAACAAAAGCCAUUUAUUUAUAAAGGAAAUCAGUUCAACAAUGGCUUAUUUUUAACAGAAAAAGUAGCAGUGAACGACUUCCAUAAGUCAACUAAAUAAAUCAAAGAUUAACGAUGGUGGGCUUAUAAUCAAUUGCAAUCACUUUCUCCAAGUUGGAAAGGAACAAAUUUGCAUACUCAACAUGUGCAGGAUGAGCUACAUACUCUGCAAUGGCUUCCACACUCUCAAAGUUUGAUUCAAAUACAUGAGUAAAACCUUGAUGCAGGUUCUCAGCACUUACAUCUGUCCCCCUGUAAUACAUAAAUAUAUGGACAUUAUAUUGCUAAGCUUUGAAAUGUUUUAAUCAUAGCCACUAAUGAGCAGUUUAGAUUGACUUAUUUGAACUUAUCUACUAGUAGAAGCACUUGCGAGACUGCUUGGGAGAACUUAUGUUUCAUUAGCUGUUUUCAACUUAUUUCUAUAAGCUCUCCAGGAUAGCUUAUCAAAAGUCAAAACGGCUUAUGACUUGUACCAAAACUGUAUUGACUUAAUUUUAUCUUUUCUUAUUAAAAUAGCUUAAAAUUAAACAUAUGCGGUAUAAGCUUAAAAUUAAACUGCAUGUCCAAACAUGACAACAUAUAGUUUUGAUUAUAUUAUAACUAAAAUGCAGAAAUUUGAUAGAUCUUGAUCUUCUAACACUUCAAUUUCACUCAAAAGCUUUGAAAGAAAGAAAAAAAAGUGAAAUAACCCCCAAAUAAUGUUCCACUGAUUCUCCUCCUAAUCUUACUUGGAAAACCCCAAUUAUUGAAUGAAUUUACUAAAAAUUCAAUCUUUUGUGAAAUGGGUCAAUUUUUUGCAGCCUCAGUUUGUAAUUUGAAAAGAAAAGAAAUAAUAGAUAAUUCCAUACCAGUGGAAUGACUUCAUGGGUGGGAUGAGAUUGACGAGAUUUGCAUAACCCUUGAUGAGUUCAUCAAUCUUCUCUUGAGAGAUUUCAUCCUUGAACUUUGCGAUCACUAUGUGCUUCACAGCCAUUUCUCUUUUUUGUUUGCUUUCCA
rnacentral:lncRNA from 1 species